rnacentral:rRNA from 1 species
ACUCCUACGGGAGGCAGCAGUAGGGAAUCUUCCACAAUGGACGAAAGUCUGAUGGAGCAACGCCGCGUGAGUGAAGAAGGGUUUCGGCUCGUAAAACUCUGUUGUUAAAGAAGAACAUAUCUGAGAGUAACUGUUCAGGUAUUGACGGUAUUUAACCAGAAAGCCACGGCUAACUACGUGCCAGCAGCCGCGGUAAUACGUAGGUGGCAAGCGUUGUCCGGAUUUAUUGGGGCGUAAAGCGAGCGCAGGCGGUUUUUAAGUCUGAUGUGAAAGCCUUCGGCUCAACCGAAGAAGUGCAUCGGAAACUGGGAAACUUGAGUGCAGAAGAGGACAGUGGAACUCCAUGUGUAGCGGUGAAAUGCGUAGAUAUAUGGAAGAACACCAGUGGCGAAGGCGGCUGUCUGGUCUGUAACUGACGCUGAGGCUCGAAAGUAUGGGUUAGCAAACAGGAUUAGAUACCCUGGUAGGAUAGCG